rnacentral:siRNA from 1 species
GAAGCCCGUAAUCCCCUCAGGUUC